UACGUAGGGUGCGAGCGUUGUCCGGAAUUACUGGGCGUAAAGGGUGCGUAGGCGGCUUUUUAAGUUUGGUGUGAAAUCUCCCGGCUCAACUGGGAGGGUGCGCCGAAUACUGAGAGGCUAGAGUGUGGGAGAGGAAAGUGGAAUUCCUGGUGUAGCGGUGAAAUGCGUAGAUAUCAGGAGGAACACCGGUGGUGUAAACGGCUUUCUGGACCAUAACUGACGCUGAUGCACGAAAGCGUGGGUAGCAAACAGG
rnacentral:rRNA from 1 species